AGAACGAAUGCUGGCGGCAUGCCUAAUACAUGCAAGUCGAACGAACUCUUCGGAGUUAGUGGCGCACGGGUGCGUAACGCGUGGGAAUCUGCCCUUGGGUUCGGAAUAACAGUUGGAAACGACUGCUAAUACCGGAUGAUGACGUUAAGUCCAAAGAUUUAUCGCCCAGGGAUGAGCCCGCGUAGGAUUAGCUAGUUGGUGAGGUAAAGGCUCACCAAGGCGACGAUCCUUAGCUGGUCUGAGAGGAUGAUCAGCCACACUGGGACUGAGACACGGCCCAGACUCCUACGGGAGCAGCAGUGGGAAUUUGGACAAUGGGGAACCUGAUCCAGCCAU
rnacentral:rRNA from 1 species